UACGUAGGUGGCAAGCGUUGUCCGGAAUUAUUGGGCGUAAAGCGCGCGCAGGCGGUCCUUUAAGUCUGAUGUGAAAGCCCGCGGCUCAACCGUGGAGGGCCAUUGGAAACUGGGGGACUUGAGUGCAGAAGAGGAGAGCGGAAUUCCACGUGUAGCGGUGAAAUGCGUAGAGAUGUGGAGGAACACCAGUGGCGAAGGCGGCUCUCUGGUCUGUAACUGACGCUGAGGCGCGAAAGCGUGGGGAGCAAACAGG
rnacentral:rRNA from 1 species